AUUGAACGCUGGCGGCAGGCCUAACACAUGCAAGUCGAACGAGUGGCGGACGGGUGAGUAAUGUCUGGGAAACUGCCUGAUGGCGGGGGAUAACUACUGGAAACGGUAGCUAAUACCGCAUACCAUCAGAUGUGCCCAGAUGGGAUUAGCUUGUUGGUGGGGUAACGGCUCACCAGGGCGACGAUCCCUAGCGGGUCUGAGAGGAGGACCAGCCACACGGGAAAGGAGAAACGGGCCAGACCCCUACGGGAGGAAGCAGUGGGGAAUAUUGGAAAAUGGGCGAAAGCCUGAUGAAGCAAGGCCGGGUGUAUGAAGAAGGCCUUCGGGUUGUAAAGUACUUUCAGCGGGGAGGCGUUACCCGCAGAAGAAGCAACGGCUAACUCCGUGCCAGCAGCCGCGGUAAUAC
rnacentral:rRNA from 1 species